UGAGGAAUAUUGCACAAUGGACGCAAGUCUGAUGCAGCAACGCCGCGUGGAGGAUGAAGGCCUUAGGGUCGUAAACUCCUUUUUUCGGGGAAGAGAAUGGACGGUACCCGAAGAAUAAGUCACGGCUAACUACGUGCCAGCAGCCGCGGUAAUACGUAGGUGGCAAGCGUUAUCCGGAAUUACUGGGCGUAAAGCGCACGCAGGCGGUCUUUUAAGUUUGACGUGAAAGCUCUCGGCUUAACUGGGAGAGGUCGUUGAAUACUGGGAGACUUGAGGAAAUGAGAGGGGUGUAGAAUUCCCGGUGUAGUGGUGGAAUGCGUAGAUAUCGGGGGGAAUACCAGUGGCGAAAGCGGCACCCUAGCAUUUUUCUGACGCUCAUGUGCGAAAGCGUGGGGAGCGAACGG
rnacentral:rRNA from 1 species